AAGGCGGAGCUAAUCCCUAAAAUACGGCCUCAGUUCAGAUUGAGGGCUGCAACUCGCCCUCAUGAAGUCGGAAUCGCUAGUAAUCGCGGAUCAGCAGGCCGCGGUGAAUACGUUCUCGAGUCCUGUACUCACCGCCCGUCACACCAGGGGAGCCGGGAGAGCUUAAAGUGCGCUUUAAGCGUAUGAGAGCUAACUCGGUGACAAGGGUGAAGUCGUAACAAGGCACGCGUAGCGGAAGCUGUGCGUGGAUCA
rnacentral:rRNA from 1 species